ACUGUACACAUACAAAGCAGUCAUAAUUAAAAACAGGGAAUAGCACUAUAAGACCUAUAAGACGUUGGUCUUCUAAAUUUCUCUAACUGUCCUGUGAUUCACACUUAUAACAGUAUGCUGCUGUAAAGCAUAAGCUCCUCCUCAUGCAAGGAUCAGUUUAAGCUACAGGAAUCACUUUACUUUAAAGUCCUGGUUUCAAGAGGUGUGUGUCUGUAACACCCUAACAAUCUCAUCGUCAGAAUGCAUGCUUGGCUGAACAUUUUACUGAUUCUCACUGCAUUCCAAUGUGGAAUCAAAGGAGACAGUGUGACCCAGCCAACAGGACCUGUGACAGCUGUUGAGGGAGACGAAGCUGUGCUCAACUGUACAUUUGAGACCACAGAUCCAAGUCCAUACCUUUUCUGGUACAAACAGGAAGCAACUGGCUCCCCUAAGUUCGUACUGAUGAGGUUUAGGCAUGGAUCUGGGAACAAUGAACCUGAGUUCAAGGAGAGAUUUGAUGCUACUCUGACUCUGGUCUCCAUCUUGGUUCCUUUGAGGAUCCAGAGUGUGCAGCUGUCUGACUCUGCUACCUACUACUGUGCUCUGAGGUCCACAGUGACUACAUGUUAUACUGUUCCUGUACAAAAACCUGCUGUGCUGCACAAUACAUGACAAGAUUACUGAAUAUAAGAAUAUAAUAUACUGUAUAUAGUCAUGAUAUCAUAGCAACAUUUCCCCCAAAACAAUCUAAUAGAUGUGCAUUUAAUA